UAAACACUUUAAAACAGCUAUUAUAUUGAAGCGAAUCGCAUUUUGCAGGCGAAAAAGGAAGUUAAAUAUUGAGUAUGUUUAAGUUUGUGACUAACAUCAAAAUGGAUUUAGCGGUAUCUGUCAUUAUUUCCGUUUUGUGCUAUGGAAUGCUCAUAUUUGGCCAAGACAAUGGCCUGCAUAUUGACUUCCAAAGGAUAGUUGAGGAUGGAGGAAGUGCAAACAUUGAACAAAUACAGGUUGACAGUUCAAGUACUGACACAUUCCAGAUUAUGUGCAGGGUGAACAAUGUGAAUGAGUUAUUCAAAAUCAAUACAUUAAGACUACAAUUUACAUCCAAUGGCCAAGAUUAUACAGAACUUGCCAGAUUGCAAAAUACUGAUGCCGCCAAUGUAGACACACAGAAGCCUGUGCUAGCAUCCGGAGCAGGUUCUAGUUGGACUGUAGAGGGAAGUUUUGGUACAAACAUUAACGGAAGGGAGGGUACCUUGGGCGUGUCUCGUCCUGUUUCCUCUAUAACCUGUAGUAAUGCAGUAGAGUACAGAUGCCAGCUUACCUACACAAAGCCUGGACCAGGUUAUAUUUCUGACACGGGCAUAAUUUCAAAAGUGCUUGAUGUCCAAGUUUUACCCACUACUAUCACAAGAAAUGUCUACAAUAUGAGUAGCUUGAGUUCACUCCCAGUGACUGUUUCUGACACGAUUGAACCCUUCUACGUGGGACAAACAGUCAAAAUGGAGUGCUCGGCAAACAUCGGCUCCUUCAACGGUACCGCCCAGAUCCGCUGGAUAAAGAGCAACAUUCUUGCUGGCAGUCCCCUCACUCCAUACUUUAGUCCUGAUACAGAACUAGGUGAUCCCCAGUCCGCGGACAAUUGUGUUUAUCAACAGACGGACUCUGUGACAUACAAUAUGACAGCCCAGGAUGCUUCUAGAAUGGCCGACAACAGACUUCAUUUUCAAUGUUACGUGGACAUUCUUAGCAUGAACUGGGAAACAGCUGUAGACCGACGAGGGAAUUUCAAAUUCAUUGUCUAUUCUAGAAGCAAAACUUCUCAUGAUGACACAAGUGUUUCUGAUAAAAAAUGUAGCUCAAAGGGAACAGUAACCGGCGGAGUAUUUGGUGGAGUUGUUGGCGGAGUUGUUGCUCUAGCGACCAUUGUUGUGGCUGUUUUAAUCAUUUCCAGAAGAUAUCAGUUUCCUUGUAUGCAAACCUCAGACAAUGCAAAAAAUACCAAAAUGCAAUCAGAUCCAGUGGUUGAGACUCAGACAGCGUCACCUUACGAACACCUGGCUACCAGAGCGCAAACGGAAUACACAGCGAUAGGCAUGACUGCUGUUGGACAAUCUGGUGCUGGCAGUCCCAACAAUGAAACCUCCUCUUAUGAGCGUCUUCACGCCAGGGAAAAUGCCGCUUAUACAGAGCUGGGAGCUUACUCUCCAGAGAGUCAGACUCAACAUACCCAGUAGCUGUACAACUAGCGAUGACCCUGAUCCUAAACUUUUUAUGAAAAUCAUGACCAACUGAUUUCUCGGAGUUGAAAAUUUGGUCAAAGUACAUGGCGCCUGACAAAUAUAUUCCUAAUUUUGGGAUUGGCCAGUUGAGAGUCAACAGACAGACUCGCAUACAGCAAGCAGUAAUUAUGAAGUUCCAGCCAAUCGUGUCAUGAUGUAGAACCCACAGUUGUGUGCAGAAGAUGCAUUCGCUUGAGACUCAUAAAAGUAGAAGAUGCAUUCGCUUGAGACUCAUAGAAGAAGAUACAUUUUCUUUUAACUCAUAUAGCAUACAUUUACACGUGACGAAUAGCAGUAGAAGAUACAUUUGAUUGUGAACUUAAAGUUAGUGCAUCCACAACCAGUAGAUUUUGAAUUACACGAGCCGUUGUAUGAAUGUAUAACUUCAAUCAUCAGGGAAGUGGGUUGUAUUAUGUUGUCAAGGAGGUUACCCAAUAGCUCGCGUGCGUAGAAGUGAAAUAACAUUGCAAUUUAUGAAAUGAUAGGAUGAUACAUUUGUGCUAUGUUUGUUUUUGUUUUAAACGUUUUGAGUAUAUUAUUUAGUGUACGGAUAUUGCAUCGGGUUUUUAAAGUCGUCUUUGAAUCUUUAAUUUUUCAGCAUGUCCUCGUAUUUCCCAUUGUAUUAUUAAAGAUGUGGAUAAAUGUGGAUGCCCGUAGUAAGGACAGAGUCUGACUCCAUUCCUGCUGUUAAAUAUAUCUCAACCUAUCCAUAUACAAUAUAAUAUAAUUUAUUAUUACUAAUUAUGUACUAAUACCAAAAAGCAAACUUCUUUGCACAUAAACAAUAACAGGUAUAAUUUUGUUUAAAAUAAAGGGGGCAUUCAAUAUGUAAUGCAUCAAAUGCGUUGAUGUUUUGCUGUAGAAAUAAUAUGUUUUGUACAUGAAAUUAAAUUAUCUUAGUGAUAAUUUCGUUCAACAAUGUUAAGGACUGAGCAAGAAAUAACAAAAACAUUUCAUAACCCUAGGGCAAGAUCGCUGAAGAACCUGUAUCUCUUAAUAACAAACGACUGCUUGUUUCAAAUGUAAAAACAAUCAACUUCCUUCACGUUUAUUUGGAAAACUUUACUAUUUAUUUUUUUAAUAUUAACCUGAUUUGAUUCGGUAAGUUGUCAUUAUUCGUCCAGCAUCAACCAUCAAACAAAAUGUUAAUAUAAAAUGUUUACAUCAAUAAAUAUUUGCUGGUAACUAGCAAUCGAAUAAUAAAACAUGUACAUUUAACUCUCACAGCGAAACACUAAACUUUGACAAACAUUUAAACAUUUCAAAAUAUGAUUAUAUUUAUUUGCAGUAAAACAAGAAGCACUCAAUUAGUGCAUAUAAUAAGUUAAGUUCUACGUUAACUUGAUAAUUCGUUUACAGAUAUAUUUUGUUUUCUUACCUCAUUUUGAAAGUGGCAAAACUUAUUGACUCCAUUCCCCAAAAUCAACCAUAUUAAUCCUGCAUGACACCUGUCACUGUAUUUUCCAUUGUAUCAUUAUGGAGAGUGUAUAGCUUAGGCCAAAUAAAAUAAUUGGUUUCACAGGCAUUGCUGCAUUUAUUUAGUUUUAUUCAAGAAAACGAUUUUGCAUUUCUUCAAUAUUGCAUUGUUUGGGAGAAAUGAGUUUAAGGAAAUAUUUUGAUAUUAGACACAUAAAUUCGUGUUGAAAUAUGCAAAAUAUUUAUGAUUUUGUUUAUUCACUUGUUCAGUAUGAUUUUAUCGAUCUUAAGCUUAUACAUUAUUUGUCCUGAAAACAUAUUUUUAAAUCAUAAAACAAAUUACGCUUCCUUCGACUUUCUUGCAAAAUGUGCCUGAAAAACUAAAACAUGAAAACAUGUAUUAGCUACGCCAAUAAACAUCUUGAAACGA